UAGAGGGGCACCCCGGGUUUGUGGUUCCCCCGGGGGGGGGGGGGGGGAGAACAAUAAUUGAUGCCCUCGGCCGUCCUUUCCCAAAACGACGGAUUCUGUGACGAUUCUGUGAUUUUUCUGCUUUGCCUGCGCGUGCUUUUGCAACAUCAUACAGCAGCCACGCCACCGUUUAAUAUAAAUAUUUGAUAGUCGUGCACCCGCAGCCUUUCCUCGCCGUGAAAGCCCAGCACGCUGUUUUGGGUCUGGUUUGGGGUUUUUUUCGGACAAGAAGACAUGGAAUCCGGCAGGUGCAGAAGAGAUGUCCUCCGAAAAGAGCCGGGUUACUCUUUUCCCUCCUUGAGACACGAGAGAGAACCAAAAUUCCACGAAAGAGAUCUGGGAAAUCAGUUACGGGAGCACACCGACGUGGCGGAGGCUCGGCUAAUGAACUACAGAAAUAACACACACACAAAAAAAAAAAAAAAAAAAAAAAAAAAAAAAAAAAAANNNNNNNNNNAUCCAAUCAAACGUAACCUCCAACUUCUGGGGAACGCGUCUUCUUCCUGCCAACCCACCCACCGCGAUCACAGCUCCUCACCGCCAUUCCUGCUCGGGAAAACUACUGCCUUUCGUUGCCCCCCAAAAAAUGGAAGUGCCUCCCACGAAAGCAAGACUGGGAAGAAACUGUUCUUCAGAAGUUAUCUGGAGGAAAACACCUUAUAAAACUUGAUCUUUGGCUGCAAUAUUAUUCUUACUUAUUUAUUUUUAAGUUUCCAAAGAAACGUGCACUUUCCUUCUUCUCUAGGAAAAGGUAGCCAUUGCUCUUCUUUAGACUGGACAUUUCUAAUUUGUUCCGUCUGUCAGAAUGGGACUGUGAGACGUUUUUGGUGCAAAUUCAUUAUCUCUGGCAACGCACAACGCAUAGUAGGAACUGAAAAAGACCGUGGCAAUGGAUGAACAAUAGGGCUUCAGUUCAUCAGCAACAAAAGCGUUGGGGAAAUUGGUUGAAUUUCAGAGCACGUCCUCCUCAGCAGAGAGGGCUGGACUAGACCUUGGCCAACCCCCCCACCACCCCCCCCAAAAAACAAACUUGCAGAGCCUCACAUGCAACACUUCACUUUUUAGUCCUGGAAGCGUAGGAAGCAAUAUGGAAAAAGAAGGAGGAAAAAA
rnacentral:lncRNA from 1 species